rnacentral:rRNA from 1 species
UGCCAGCCGCCGCGGUAAUACGGAGGGUGCAAGCGUUACUCGGAAUCACUGGGCGUAAAGAGCGUGUAGGCGGGUUUGUAAGUUUGAAGUGAAAUCCAAUGGCUCAACCAUUGAACUGCUUUGAAAACUGCUUACCUAGAAUAUGGGAGAGGUAGAUGGAAUUUCUGGUGUAGGGGUAAAAUCCGUAGAGAUCAGAAGGAAUACCGAUUGCGAAGGCGAUCUACUGGAACAUAACUGACGCUGAGAUGCGAAAGCGUGGGGAGCAAACAGGAUUAGAUA